rnacentral:rRNA from 1 species
GACGAACGCUGGCGGCGUGCUUAACACAUGCAAGUCGAACGGAAAGGCCCUGCUUUUGUGGGGUGCUCGAGUGGCGAACGGGUGAGUAACACGUGAGUAACCUGCCCUUGACUUUGGGAUAACUUCAGGAAACUGGGGCUAAUACCGGAUAGGAGCUCCUGCUGCAUGGUGGGGGUUGGAAAUUUUAGGCGGGUGGGGAUGGACUCGCGGCUUAUCAGCUUGUUGGUGGGGUAGUGGCUUACCCAGGCUUUGACGGGUAGCCGGCCUGAGAGGGUGACCGGCCACAUUGGGACUGAGAGACGGCCCAGACUCCUACGGGAGGCAGCAGGGGGGAAUAUUGCACAAUGGGCGGAAGCCUGAUGCAGCAACGCCGCGUGCGGGAUGACGGCCUUCGGGUUGUAAACCGCUUUCGCCUGUGACGAAGCGGGAGUGACGGUAAUGGGUAAAGAAGCACCGGCUAACUACGUG